CUUGCGAAUUGACGGAUCUUCAGAAACGUACAAUAUCGAGAACAUAAACGACCAGAGACGUGGGGCCGGACAGGUUAACGAGGUAUUUUUCCGCUCUGCAUCCCUCGGCUCAAUCAACAGCGUAUACAUGGAGCUGCACGGCGGAGAUGGGUGGUACAUCGAGAAGCUGACUAUUGACGAGCUGUAUUCGGGACAUAUAUCUACGUUCGACUACCAUUCCUGGCUAGAUGAUGAUGGUCCAGUUAGCAUCACGCUGCCACUGACAUCCACCUACAACCAUAUCAGCACCUA